rnacentral:rRNA from 1 species
GAUGAACGCUGGCGGCGUGCCUAAUACAUGCAAGUCGAGCGAACAGACGAGGAGCUUGCUCCUCUGACGUUAGCGGCGGACGGGUGAGUAACACGUGGAUAACCUACCUAUAAGACUGGGAUAACUUCGGGAAACCGGAGCUAAUACCGGAUAAUAUAUUGAACCGCAUGGUUCAAUAGUGAAAGACGGUUUUGCUGUCACUUAUAGAUGUAUCCGCGCCGCAUUAGCUAGUUGGUAAGGUAACGGCUUACCAAGGCAACGAUGCGUAGCCGACCUGAGAGGGUGAUCGGCCACACUGGAACUGAGACACGGUCAAGACUCCUACGGGAGGCAGCAGUAGGGAAUCUUCAGCAAUGGGCGAAAGCCUGACGGAGCAACGCCGCGUGAGUGAUGAAGGUCUUCGGAUCGUAAAACUCUGUUAUUAGGGAAGAACAAAUGUGUAAGUAACUAUGAACGUCUUGACGGUACCUAAUCAGAAAGCCACGGCUAACUACGUG